rnacentral:rRNA from 1 species
GUCUCCUGGAAAACGGGUGGUAAUGCCGGAUGCUCCGACUCCUCGCAUGGGGUGUCGGGAAAGAUUUCAUCGGUAUGGGAUGGGGUCGCGUCCUAUCAGGUAGUCGGCGGGGUAACGGCCCACCGAGCCUACGACGGGUAGCCGGCCUGAGAGGGCGACCGGCCACAUUGGGACUGAGAUACGGCCCAGACUCCUACGGGAGGCAGCAGUGGGGAAUAUUGCACAAUGGGCGCAAGCCUGAUGCAGCGACGCCGCGUGCGGGAUGACGGCCUUCGGGUUGUAAACCGCUUUUGAUCGGGAGCAAGCCUUCGGGUGAGUGUACCUUUCGAAUAAGCACCGGCUAACUACGUGCCAGCAGCCGCGGUAAUACGUAGGGUGCAAGCGUUAUCCGGAAUUAUUGGGCGUAAAGGGCUCGUAGGCGGUUCGUCGCGUCCGGUGUGAAAGUCCAUCGCUUAACGGUGGAUCUGCGCCGGGUACGGGCGGGCUGGAGUGCGGUAGGGGAGACUGGAAUUCCCGGUGUAACGGUGGAAUGUGUAGAUAUCGGAAAGAACACCA